UGCCCAAUCUAACUUUUCAGCUGCUGUCGAUUGGUUCUUAAUUUCUAUCAAUAGCUACUGUAUGUGAUCUUCCCUUUUAACUAUACCAAUUCUAUGACGAUUGGAGUUUUAGCUGUUGAUCUCAUACCUUUUUAUACAUCUUCAUGGCUAGAUGACAGUUAUAUAGAUAAGAUGAUCUUGACUUGCCUAUGUAUAGGUUUCCACAAAUUCAGAGUCUUUUAUAUGCAAUUAGAGACUCUUAUAUACUCUACUGAUGGACACAGUUUUAAUCAUACUAUUGUAGUUAUUCUGAUAUCUUAUGACAAAACUGACAAUGAUAGCCUAACAAUGUACUUUGGUCUCAUGGGUGAUGGUCUGCCAAUUGGACGAUACAACGACAUGUGGGCGACCUAGUGCAUUAAGGUUAUCUGUGACCACCUUGGAUUAGACAUGAAGACCAGUAUACCAUACAUCUGGCACAACAAGGCUAGCAACCCAAUUGUGAACCUGAAAUAGAAAUACAAGGGUAUUUACUGGCAGGGAAAAUUGAUCCUGUUCUUCCAGGUUGCUACCCUUGCAAAAGAGUAUACCACUGUUCAUAGCUGCUAUAAAGAGCUCUCGAAGUAGGUCAAGGCUAAGCUCGGCAAGGUUGAUGACUACUUCAACAAGUUGGCUGAUGCCAUGGUCACUUGGAUCGAAGCAUGGGAGUCGCAUGGGUUAAACGGGUCAAACGUCGCCCAAAGGCAGAGGCUUUGGAGGAUGCACUUACAUAGUUACAUGUUGGAGUUUCUGACAACAAAAAUGGGUGACCGAAUUGUGUCAAGGUCACUCACCACAUAAACCAAGUUAUGUCAUAUGAUU